AGAGUUUGAUCAUGGCUCAGGACGAACGCUGGCGGCGUGCUUAACACAUGCAAGUCGAACGAUGAUCCUGGGUGCUUUGCACCUGGGGGAUUAGUGGCGAACGGGUGAGUAACACGUGAGCAAUCUGCCCCGGACUCUGGGAUAAGCGCUGGAAACGGCGUCUAAUACUGGAUAUGACGCGCGAAGGCAUCUUCUGCGUGUGGAAAGUUUUUCGGUUCGGGAUGAGCUCGCGGCCUAUCAGCUUGUUGGUGAGGUAAUGGCUCACCAAGGCGACGACGGGUAGCCGGCCUGAGAGGGUGACCGGCCACACUGGGACUGAGACACGGCCCAGACUCCUACGGGAGGCAGCAGUGGGGAAUAUUGCACAAUGGGCGCAAGCCUGAUGCAGCAACGCCGCGUGGGGGAUGACGGCCUUCGGGUUGUAAACCUCUUUUAGCAGGGAAGAAGCCUUUCGGGGUGACGGUACCUGCAGAAAAAGCACCGGCUAACUACGUGCCAGCAGCCGCGGUAAUUC
rnacentral:rRNA from 1 species